rnacentral:RNase_P_RNA from 2 species
GAGGAAAGUCCGGGCUCCAUAGGGCAAGGUGCCAGGUAACGCCUGGGCGGCGCAAGCCGACGGAAAGUGCAACAGAAAGAUACCGCCUACGUCUUCUUCGGAAGGCCGGUAAGGGUGAAAUGGUGCGGUAAGAGCGCACCGCGAGUCUGGCAACAGACCGGCACGGCAAACCCCACCUGGAGCAAGACCAAAUAGGGAUCCUUUGGCGCGGCCCGCGUUGGAUCCGGGUAGGUUGCUUGAGCGUUGCGGUGACGUAACGCCUAGAGGAAUGACUGUCCACGACAGAACCCGGCUUA